rnacentral:rRNA from 1 species
GACGAACGCUGGCGGCGUGCUUAACACAUGCAAGUCGAACGGAAAGGCCCUGCUUUUGUGGGGUGCUCGAGUGGCGAACGGGUGAGUAACACGUGAGUAACCUGCCCUUGACUUUGGGAUAACUUCAGGAAACUGGGGCUAAUACCGGAUAGGAGCUCCUGCUGCAUGGUGGGUGUUGGAAAGUUUCGGCGGUUGGGGAUGUACUCGCGGCUUAUCAGCUUGUUGGUGGGGUAGUGGCUUACCAAGGCUUUGACGGGUAGCCGGCCUGAGAGGGUGACCGGCCAAAUUGGGACUGAGAUACGGCCCAGACUCGUACGGGAGGCAGCAGUGGGGAAUAUUGCACAAUGGGCGGAAGCAUGAUGCAGCAACGCAGCGUGCGGGAUGACGGCCUUCGGGUUGUAAACCGAUUUCGCCUGUGACGAAGCGUGAGUGACGGUAAUGGGUAAAGAAGCACCGGCUAACUACGUG